CCCCUAAGUAUCAAUAAAUGUGAGGAAAAACCUCAGUGCUAAAACCAAGGCCCAGAAUAGUUGCCUGGCCCCUCUCGACUCGAUGGUUGAUGAUCCCCAGCCCACGGAGUCACCGUGGUUCUACUGCUUUAUACGGGCUUCAACACACAGCUCCGCAGUCGUCCCAAUCUUCAAAGCAUGAAGAUUCCAGCAGUUAAUCUUCAAAAGCUCACUGAAAUCACAGACACAUCUGAACAUGGCAGGAGAGAGCUGGCACUUUAUAUUCCUGCGUUACCCUCUG